ACCCCGAACCCCGAACCACGAACCUCAAACUCGGUUUAUUGUAGACCAUAGAAAGACUAACUUUAACCAAAGGUUUAUUGUAGACCAUAGAAAGACUAACUUUAACCAAAGGUUUAUUGUAGAAAGGACUCAUGAUGUAAAACCAAUGUUGGUAAUUAGAAUCAUAGCUUCUUGUUAUCAAGGUUCCUGCACAACACCUGAAUGAAUAAUUUUGGAAUUGCUGGUUUUGUGCCACACCAACAGUUACAUUAUAAGUUCGCCGAAGCAAAAAAAAACAAUCUUUAGCGCCACCUCUCCAGGACUAGUGAAGGAAAUCACCAAUGCUUUGGCACAUUUGAAAUUUGUAUUGGUUCAAAUAAACUUCAUUCAGUUUGACGCCUAAUGCAGGAUCUAAUUGGAUUAGAAUAUUGAUAAGAAUUUCUUAUAAAUUCAUCUGGACCUUCAACACCGCUUACAUUCUAUAACUCCGAAGCCUUUAAGCAACUCAAGAUCAAAUGACAAAGGUAAAAUACUAAGUAAAUCAAAUAAAUUAAAUUAAUGAAUCAUCUAAAUCUCAUGUGAAUUAUAAUGAAAUGAAUUGUUGCGCCUUCUUAUCUGAAUUUUACCUCUUACAUCUCUCAUUAUUCAUAGCUAUAAUUUCUCACAUGAGCCUUUUCAUAUCAACAACCUAAAGUCGUUCCACUGUAAACAUCCCAUUUAAUUCCUAUGAUGGCUACAUGUAUAUAUCCGAUGCUCUGAAACUAUAAUUACAACUCUUUGAUUCCUUUGCAAGACUGCAAAAUGCUGAUCCAUAGAGGCGAUCAUGACAUACGCAGAAGAGGAGUUGAAUGACCCUAAAUCCUGAUUAUUCGUCCAUGAGGAUAACACACCUGAAGUAUACAGCACAUGAAAAAACUUAGAAAUUAGGUUAUAUUUGAAUAUCUUUAUACCCUUUAAACUAAUUAGAGAAUGGCAACAAGCCAAAAAGCAAACAUAAAAAAAUUCACUAACUGUUUUUGCUUCUCCCUUAGCCAAGCAGUUCAGCAGCAAACCCAGCAACUCGAAGAUAGGUUCCUACUCGUAACUUCAUAAUUUGUCCAAGGACAAAUUUUUCUCCAAAAGACAUAAAAAAAGUUGUAAAUAAAAAACAUCAAAAAGAAAAUUUAAAGCCACAUCACAUGAGUUCUGAUCACUUUGUAGAACACUAGCAGACCCUUAUACCCAAAUUCUUUUUGUCAUUAGGACCAAAUACAGACAUAUACAUUCUUCCGAAGAACACGUACUAAAGUGUCAUACCAAUAGCCAUGUUUACGAGUUCCACACAGGUGCUCAAGGCUACAUCAAAGAGCUAGGAUUAUAUCAAUGAUACACCAAAAAACUUCACAUGGGCCAACAUGAUAUCACUAGUCAUGAUCAUUUUCAUACUUCUUAUCAUACAAAGGAUUCACGACACUGUACUAGUAAUUAGUAAAUAGAAUCAUCUCUCCCCAUUGCUAAGGUUCUUACUUUGGCAGAACACCAAUAAUCAAAUCAAUAGUUCAUUGGAGCAUAACCAGCAAUCUAUUAGACUAUCCAUGAUUCUAGAAGUAUCGAUAAUUCAAAACAUCAUUGGUAAGUUUCAAUUCCCAUUUUCUAGCACCUUUUAUCGGCUACUGGCUGCAAUCACCAAAAAUUUGGCACCACUAAAAUUUGUAUUGGUUCACAUGAACUUCCCCCAGUUCAACUUUAGAGAAGAGACCUAAAAAGAUUAAAAAACUUAGAUUGUUAAUUAUAAUUUUUAAGAAAUUUAUUUGGAACUUAAACACCAUCUAUAUUCCACAACUCCCCAGUCUUUAAGAAACUUUGAUUCAAAUAACAAAAGUAGCAAAUAAUUCAAAUAAAUCUUUAACAAAUAAAGAUCCCAGCACUUGAUGUGCAAUCAACUGCAUCAUAGCACCUUAUUACUGGUACUUCUUUUCUGAAGCCAACCUCUUUCUAUCUCUGACAAUUAUAGCAAUAGUUUCUCCAGUGAGCCUCUUGGCAUUCAGCAACAAAAUUCUAAACAUCCUCUUUAACUCUUGUAGUUACUACACUUAGAUAUCCGAUUCUCUGCCCCUCCAACUACACAAGGCCACAGAGUCAGCAUCCUUAGAUAUGAGCAUACAUCGAAAAGCGAGUUAAAUUUCAACUAUUCAACCCUGAGGCUAACAUAUAUAAAUAAAAUAGCAAUUAACUUAAUACAUUAAUAAAUUGUGCUGUAACACCAAGCUGCUUCUACUUACUAAUCAGAUCAUCUUUACUGCAAGUAUAACUGCCUUUGGUUCUCCGCUAGCUGACAAUAUAGAUCAGUUGACGAUUAACCAAAGAGUUGUCAUAAUCCAAGAUUCCAGAAAGAAAUAGUUCACUAACUUCAGCUCAUAUAUUUCAUCUACUUAGAUAAAAACAUCAGCUCUGCAAGAUCCCCGCAUAAACAUCAUACACAACCGCAACAAAGCCGGUAAACCCAGCAGCUCAGGAAUGGGUUCACACUCCAAAGUUUAUUAUUAGUUCAAGAACAUUUUUUCUAAAAACAUCAAAGGAAAUCCGAUAAUCAAAUAAAGAACGACAAAGUAAAUCCCGAGCCGCGACACAUGAGUUCUGAUCACUUCGCAGAACACUAGCAGCACUUUAUACCAAGAUUCAUCGACAAGGAUUCUAGACAAGGACAUCUCCCAUUCAUCAUAA